rnacentral:rRNA from 1 species
UACGUAGGGACCAAGCGUUGUUCGGAUUUACUGGGCGUAAAGGGCGCGUAGGCGGUCGUGACAAGUCACUUGUGAAAUCUCCGGGCUUAACUCGGAACGGUCAAGUGAUACUGUCGUGCUAGAGUACAGGAGGGGCAACUGGAAUUCUCGGUGUAGCGGUGAAAUGCGUAGAUAUCGAGAGGAACACCUGCGGCGAAGGCGGGUUGCUGGGCUGAUACUGACGCUGAGGCGCGAAAGCCAGGGGAGCGAACGGG